GUGGUACAUUCUUCACCAGCACAUAUACUAAAAUUGGAACUAUAAAGAGAAGAUUAACAUGGCCCCAGCACAAGGAUGACACCAAAAUUUGGGAAGUGUUCCAUCAAAGU